UGCCCAGUGACAAAAUUUAACGGCCGCGGUACCCUAACCGUGCGAAGGUAGCAUAAUCACUUGUUCUUUAAAUGAGGACUUGUAUCAACGGCAUCACGAGGGUUAAACUGUCUCCUUUUUCAUAUCAGUGAAACUAAUCUCCCCGUGAAGAAGCGGGGAUAAUCCUAUAAGACGAGAAGACCCCAUGGAGCUUUAAACCCAACUACACCCCUCUUUAACUUUACCUUUAAACACCUGGGAUUUUUGUAUGUUCUGGUUUUAGGUUGGGGUGACCGCGGAGCAUAAAUUAGCCUCCACAAUGAAUAGAUUUUUCUCUUUAUCCAAGACCGACACUUCUAAGAAUUAGUACUCUAACAUAAAAUGAUCCGAUAUUCGAUCAACGAACCAAGUUACCCUGGGGAUAACAGCGCAAUCUACUUUAAGAGCUCCUAUCGACAAGUGGGUUUACGACCUCGAUGUUGGAUCAGGGUAUCCUAGUGGUGCAGCAGCUACUAAAGGUUCGUUUGUUCAACGAUUAAAACCCU
rnacentral:rRNA from 1 species